AUACAGGCGUGAGCCACCAUGCCCAGCCCAUUCAGUAUUAUAUCUGAAUGUCACACUUGACAUUGAUUUUGGCAUGACUACUGCUGAACUUCCAUCUGCCUCAUUUCAACAUAAUUUUAGAAGCAAGGCUAAAUGAUCUAUGUACUCCAAAAGAAAUCUUUUCAUUGGUUCUGGCCAAUGCUUUUGUCAUACUUGUUCCUGGAAGUGUGAUGAACAACAGCAUCAUUGAGACCAAGAUCAAGUCCAUGCUAGUGAGCUAAGGUAGAGAAGAGGAGGGCUGUAGUGCUAGGAAAGGAGGUUUUAGCCUCUUUAUAUUCUGUGAAGUGCAGCACUUCUUGGCUAGAUAGAUUAACUGUUUCACUUUGUCUGCCAGGAAUGGGCAGCCGUGACUUAACCAUUGACUGAAGCCAGAGGAAGUUGAAGGCCCUGUAGGUGGUGGUUGGUUGGUUGUUGAUGGAUCUACUGGAUGCUUAUUGAGGUCUACUAGCAGUGGUGCACUUGAACCAGCUUGUACUAACUUCUGAGAAUCAAUUGUUAGCAUCUCCAUUAUACCACAGUGGUAGCCUGAAAUCAGCCACAGAAGCAUAUUUACACCAUAGAAAUUGGAAAACCCUACAAAUGAGCUCCCCACUCCCUUCCUUCCCUGCAUGCUGGCUGUUAAACAUUUGCCAGCACACCACUGGCUAUGCAACAAAUACAAUGCUAGGCCCCUAUUCUGUCAUUGGCAGAGAUAAUAGUAUUACCUCAUUCUUUUUAUGUCUUCUCUCAUUUUUUUCUCAUUAGAACAUCCAAAGAUGUUCAGUAUUAUAAACUAUUAAAGUGAAAAAUUACCAUUUUGCCACCUACCCUCUGACUUUAUAGUCAUUGGAUGUUGUGUGUGUAUGUGUGUUCCUGAAUGCCCUACUUCUAAUAUGAGGCCAAAUGGUUUGAAUCUGGUCUCAGAACUGGCUGUGUGGCAUACAGGCAACUUCAAACAAAGUAGACUAGUGGACAAGAAACCCAGCGUUGACUUUGCACUUAGUUAAUUUGGGUGAGACAAAUAUCCUCCCCAAGACUUAGUUGCUUAGAGGGACUUUCUCUAGCAAACUCCAGUUAUUUCUGCUCUAAAAUUCUGAGUUACAUGUCUAAUUUUCUUUUGGACUGUCAAGUAUCUGUAUACUUAGGGAGAGUAUCAGUCAUCAUCACUAAAUAAUUUGCUCCAAGCCUCCAUUUAUACUAAAUCACUUUUGUUCUCCCAAACAUGCUAUGUCAAGACUGGGCCUUUGCAUUGAAUGUUGCCUUUUAUGGAAUGUCCUGCCCUCCCUUCUGUCCAUCUGACAAAAUCCUAUUCCUCUUUGAAGGGUCAGCUUAUAUGUGACCAGCAUUAUAAAGCCUUCCAGGACUCUCUCAGCAGACUUUAGUGUCCCGUGUCCUUCUGCUGUUUCCUGGAGUCCUGGCAGCUCUCUCCCACUGAACUGACACCACUGGAGACUGUGUAGAAAAGAAUCUGGGUCUACGUAUGGUUACUCCAGAGAGUUCCUACAGGCCCCAUCUCUUCUUUAUCCUCUUGAAUCCAUUUGCUUUUUCUAGUUUGGCUGAGCUUUGGAUUCUGUUUCUGCUUGAUUUUUCACUUCUCUGCUCUUCACUCGCCUUUGGACUUGAUGUGUUAGAGGAUCUCUGUGGGUGUUACUUUUGUUACAUUUUGUUCCCGAGCUCUCAGGACCCUUUCUCUCAUCCCAGUCUGAUACCUUUCUCCAAUUCCUGAAAUAUCAAGCCUAGCCAUAGACCUAGUUUCCCACCUGCUUGAGAGGGGAGUUCUGAUAAGAGUUUGGAAAUACCUUAGGGAGGAGGCUAUUCUUUCAUCUAUGUAUCCUGAGUGCCUAUAAUCAUGUCUGGAACAUAGAAGUGUUCAAUGAAUGUUUAUUGAAUGAAUAAAUAAAUGUAUAGGAUGAGGAGAACUUACCCACCUAAGGACCUGACUUAGGGGACAAGAGUGAAAUACAAGCUUGAUCUCACCUCUUGAAUGCUGGUCAUUGAGCUUAAAUCUUGCUCUAAAGAUGGAUAAUUGUCAGCCUUUUGUAGGACCUCAAGAAGGAUCUGAAGAAACUAGAUAUUUUUGCCAGCAAAAUAAUUCACAGCACACAAAUGAUUGUACAGAAUUUCAGUGCUUUCAGAAAUCCUCUGGAAGCCUUUUCAUGAACGCCAGUCUGUUGCAGGCUGGCCUGGCAGCUCUCCUACACCACUUCCCUUCCAGCGGCAACCCAGGGGCCAGGCUGCAUCCAGUUUAACACUGCCAUGUUGGAGUUGAGCUCUUUGUUUUUAACCAGCUAGCCUUAGGAGAGAGUCAACAUGCAGAAAUCACACUUGAUUUUAACUGCUAGACCAGAAGGGACACCUCAUCUCCCCUGCAUUCCAUUGGCGAGAACAUGGAAAUUUGAUGAACACUACUGGUUUUGGUCUUGGUCACUAUUUGCAUUUGUUCAAUAUCAUAUUUCUGCUCCUAUGGACACAACGAUAGAGGCAGGAAGCGGAGAAAUUCUAGGCAGAAAGGGUGGGUCCCUGGCAAAAGCCCCACCCUCCAGCUGAAAAGCCUGAAACCACAACCCCAAGUGAGAACUUACAUCUGUGUUUUCCCGCUUGAAUGUUACCUUUUCCAAAACCACUCAUUGCCUGCCCUGCCCUCCAUCCUGGGCUUAUAAAAAACCUCAAACCCAGCUGACAGAGAGAGGAGAAGCAGCUGGAUGUCAGAGACUACAGCUGGAAGUCAGGGAGAAGCGGUUUGAUUCCAGAGGGACAGCUUGACUGUGUGACUUCAGAGAAGAAUCUGGCCGGAGACUCCUGGACUUCAGGGGACGAUUACCUUCCAGCUCUGUCCCCUUUUCAGCUCCCCUUCCCACUGAGAGCCAUGUCCAUCGGCAAUACAGUCUCCCACACUUACCAUC